rnacentral:rRNA from 1 species
CCUACGGGAGGCAGCAGUAGGGAAUCUUGCUCAAUGGGGGAAACCCUGAAGCAGCAACGCCGCGUGGAUGAUGAAGGUUUUAGGAUUGUAAACUCCUGUUGUGAGAGAAGAUAAUGACGGUGUCUCACGGAUAAGGACUGGCUAACUCCGUGCCAGCAGCCGCGGUAAUACGGAGGGUGAAAGCGUUACUCGGAAUGACUGGGCGUAAAGAGUUCGCAGGCGGGCUUGUAAGUCAGAUGUGAAAUCCUGUAGCUUAACUAAAGUACUGCAUUUGAAACUAGGAGUCUAGAGUGUGGGAGAGGUAGGUGGAAUUCUAGGUGUAGGGGUAAAAUGCGUAGAUAUAAAGAGGAAUACUCAUUGCGAAGGCGACCUACUGGAACAUUACUGACGCUGAUGCACGAAAGCGUGGGGAGCAAACAGGAUUAGAUACCCCAGUAGUC